UACGUAGGGUGCGAGCGUUAAUCGGAAUUACUGGGCGUAAAGCGUGCGCAGGCGGCGCGUUAAGACAGGUGUGAAAUCCCCGGGCUCAACCUGGGAACUGCAUCUGUGACUGCAUCGCUGGAGUGCGGCAGAGGGGGAUGGAAUUCCACGUGUAGCAGUGAAAUGCGUAGAGAUGUGGAGGAAUACCGAUGGCGAAGGCAGCCCCCUGGGCCAAUACUGACGCUCAUGCACGAAAGCGUGGGGAGCAAACAGG
rnacentral:rRNA from 1 species